UUAUAUUAAGGGAUAGCCAAAUCACCAAACCUAUAUUUUACAUAAAAAUUAAGAAUAUUAUGGUCAAAAAAAAAAAACGAUUUUUAUUGGGGAGCAAUAAAACCUAGUGAUAUCCAUAAAAGAUAUUAAGGUAGACAUGAGACUUAAUCCCCAAUGCGGUCUCCCUAUUAGGCGUCAUGGGAAUGGUUGGCUCAUAAAGAGUAAGCCGUAGAGUCGCCAAGAGAGAGAGAGGAUUUCUUGCGGAAAGAAGCAUGACCUCCAAGAAAGUCAGGGUAUUCCCAUGUGUGGUAUUUGCCUUUUAUUUGCAAAGAAAGUAAAGGGGGCAAGAGAUUGUACAUCAGCCCUUCAGGGUUAUUAAUAUGAAAGAGAAAAUGGUACCUAAAAUAUUUCCACUUUUGUUAAAAAACAAAAAACAAAACUACAUUGCGUAAGCUCUCAUAUUUUUAUUAUUUCAAGAAAUCUUAUGGAACAUUUUUUCUAGCAUAAAUAGUUCAAAAAUCAAAAUAAUUGAAUCAAAAGAGAGAAUAACUAAACACCCAGAUCAAAUAAUUAAAUGAAGGAAAAUUGUUUCACGCAGGCUGGACCGCAUGACUGCAUAUGCGGUCUAAAAAGUGUAAAGCAUCCAUCUUAAAGAUAGAUGCAAGUAGGUGUUCCAUCUGAAAACAAUAGAAACUAACGGUCUAAAUGUUUUCUUACUAAAAUUAUUUUUUUUAGUUUUGAAAAUUUACUUAUUUUUUCAUAUUUUCAUGAUCUCCAUGUUAGAGAUUACAUAUCCUUAAAAAUUAAAUCCAAAGGGAAAGGUUUCUAUGCUUCCCCCACAGCAUAGAAGUUCUUCCCCCUACCAUCUAACCGUCUAAUUUUGAUGAAGAGAGUCACUCACUGUUUGAUCUUCCGACGUCUCAAAG
rnacentral:lncRNA from 1 species